UGGGGUGGUUCCGUUUCCGUCUUAAGAUGCCUCUGUUCCUCAGUGUGUUUCCAUCCUUUUCCAGAGGAAAAUUGCAAGCAAGUGGCUGAUCAUUAAGGGAGAGCAGAGUGCGAAAUCUAUUGCAAACAAGGAGAUGCAGACCUGCGAGACCAGCAAGACAGGACCAAGAGAAACUGGUAGCAACAGGAUCUGAACAAAUGAAAAAUGCAAGAAGGGAACCCAGUAGCAGCCGAACGUCACCUCUGAUACCUGUGGGAUGGUCUGCCUCUGAAGGUGACGUUGUCCAGG